AAUCGGAAUUGAUCCAUCUGCAGAGAACUUUGCGGGAUGUUUGCAACGCUGUUUUCCGCUCACACUGAAAGCCAACACCAGUGGCGCUAUGAGGCCUGUGGGGUUUUGAAGUAUUCUUGGCUAAAUACUCCUCUCUGGACCACACGAAGCCCCCUGUGAGGCAUCUCCCUGACUCCCAGUUAGCUACACUAUAAACACUUCACUCAGGAAUGGCAGCUGUUCCCAGAUGGCACUUGGUACAUUCCCCUUCUCCCAAAGUACCCUCCUCAUUUCUCUCUCUCUCUCUCUCUCUCACUAUCAUCUCAGCUACAAUGUCUUCAAAUGCACAAUGGAGCCAUUAUAAGGAACUUUGCAUCUUAAUUCAGAAUCCCUGGUUUCAUCAUUGUGCUUGCGUUGACCGGUAGAAACAAGAUUUUGUUUUAUAUCAAGGUUUAUUCAGUGGUGAUGCUCAUUGGGUUUUUUGGAAACUAGCGUGCCUGUUGGGUCAUCCACCAGAGGAAGGUAAUUCAGCCAAGCUUUGCAGUUCUACGGAAACAGCUGUCCUGGGACCGGAUGAGGCUUAUGCCUUGAAAAAUCAAGAGUCUCUAUUACACCAACUGCAUAAAUGAUGGGCCGCCUGCCCGUGGCUCGUGAUCCGUUAUUAGCGCUGUCAGUUUCCAUUCGACCUGUUGACAUUUUAAACAUGCGGCAGUGGCUUGUUUUAUUCCAGCUAAUGUGUUGUAGAAGUUAGAAACAUUUUUCUAGCACAAUUUAAUCAGCCGAGCUGAACCAAAGAAUGAUUGAAGCUGAUUAACCCUACAUUGGACGACCAUGUGGCCCUGGUUUCACCACAGAUGGGAUUUAAAAACAAACAGGCCUGGUCACUCUGGGAGGUGGGGAGGCUGCGUGGUGUAUUACACAGAGAACUGAGGGAACGGCUUGUUUUGUUUCCAAAGCCCAGAAAAGCAGAGCCAUGUGACUGCUGAUGGUGGUCAGUGCUCUGGGGAAAUCAAUAAUGGCUCGGUUUAUUUUUCAUAAUUGAUGGAUAAAUAUUUCUCUAAGGGACUUUAAGGAAAAAGCCGAGCUCCUGGAGGCGUGCCGUCACUAAAAUGCUCAGAGGACACAAACGCUCUUGCUAAACUCUGUUGCUGCCCCGGAAAAACAAACUGCAUCCACUGUUCAUGUAACGCUCGGUUCUUUGGGAAGCUGAACACGAACUGACUGGAGAAAUGGAUUCCUUUUGGGAGAAAAGACCAGCUGAGGGGUCAAAGGUCAGGAUCAGACACCCUCCCCUGCAGCCCUACACGAGAAGGGUCAAUCAGGCAGAUUCUCAGCCAUUGAAAUAGGUUGGGAUGGAAAAGCUUGACUGUCCUCUGACCUCAUAUGACCCCCAUCUGCCCUCUGGUCCUAGUGUCAGGAAGUGAAGUCAUCCACACUGAUUUAUCAGUAGACCGUACACACAGUUUCAAUGGAGGGACUGAGAGCUCUCGGACUAA